GAUGAACGCUGGCGGCGUGCCUAAUACAUGCAAGUCGAGCGAACGGACGAGAAGCUUGCUUUUCUGAUGUUAGCGGCGGACGGGUGAGUAACACGUGGAUAACCUACCUAUAAGACUGGGAUAACUUCGGGAAACCGGAGCUAAUAUCGGAUAAUAUUUUGAACCGCAUGGUUCAAAAGUGAAAGACGGUCUUGCUGUCACUUAUAGAUGGAUCCGCGCUGCAUUAGCUAGUUGGUAAGGUAACGGCUUACCAAGGCAACGAUGCAUAGCCGACCUGAGAGGGUGAUCGGCCACACUGGAACUGAGACACGGUCCAGACUCCUGCGGGAGGCAGCAGUAGGGAAUCUUCCGCAAUGGGCGAAAGCCUGACGGAGCAACGCCGCGUGAGUGAUGAAGGUCUUCGGAUCGUAAAACUCUGUUAUUAGGGAAGAACAUAUGUGUAAGUAACUGUGCACAUCUUGACGGUACCUAAUCAGAAAGCCACGGCUAACUACGUG
rnacentral:rRNA from 1 species